rnacentral:rRNA from 1 species
GUCCACGCCCUAAACGAUGUCGACUGGUUGUUGGGGGUUUGACACUCUCAGUAACUAAGCUAACGCGUGAAGUCGACCGCCUGGGGAGUACGGCCGCAAGGUUAAAACUCAAAGGAAUUGACGGGGACCCGCACAAGCGGUGGAUUAUGUGGAUUAAUUCGAUGCAACGCGAAAAACCUUACCUACCCUUGACAUGUCCCGAAGCCCGGUGAGAGCCGGGGGUGCCCGAAAGGGAACGGGAACACAGGUGCUGCAUGGCUGUCGU